rnacentral:rRNA from 1 species
UACGUAGGGUGCGAGCGUUAAUCGGAAUUACUGGGCGUAAAGCGUGCGCAGGCGGUUCGUUAUGUCCGAUGUGAGAGCCCCGAGCUUAACUUGGGAAUGGCAUUGGAAACUGGCGGGCUGGAGUGCGGCAGAGGGGGGUGGAAUUCCACGUGUAGCAGUGAAAUGCGUAGAGAUGUGGAGGAACACCGAUGGCGAAGGCAGCCCCCUGGGCCGACACUGACGCUCAGGCACGAAAGCGUGGGGAGCAAACAGG